AGAGUGUUCUGGCAAUCAUCCUUGAUGAUGGCUCGGAGACAAAGUUGUAUCCCCUGACAAAGAGAAUAUCAAAAGGGGCCAUUCCAAUAGCAGCAAACUACAGGCUGAUUGACAUUGUGGUGAGCAACUGCAUCAACAGUAACAUUAUCAGGAUAUAUGCUCUAACUCAGUUCAACUCCACCUCCCUAAAUUCUCAUCUGUCAAGAGCCUAUUCUAACAUUGGGCUCGGAAAGGAUGGUUUUGUAGAAAUUUUGACAGCAUACCAAAGCCCUGAAGAGCAAGGUUGGUUUAAGGUCUGUACCAUCAUCAGGCUCAAUACUUCUCUUUUUCCCCUUCUAUUUUAAAGCAGUAAGAUUGACUUAUUCCCCUAAAAAUCUGUAAAAUUUUAUCUGGCACUUGUGAUUUUGCAUGUCAAUAGUUGUAAUUUGCUAAUAAGAACCAUAAUUGUAAAUAUCAUCUCUCAAGACCUACAUGAUUCAAUAAAGUUGCACCAUCUUACAAUUUUUAUCAUUUUCGAGAUCCCUGUAUCAUGAUUUCUUACAAUUUCCAAGAACUCAAUCUGCUGCAAUACCAGCUGCUGCUAUUCAAGCUACUGAGGUACUAGGAUUUCAAAAAUCUUUGAUUCAAACUGAUGCAUCAAAUCAUCGUUCCUUUUCAUAACACGGAAUAUCUUGUUGAAAUUUGUACUUCCAUUUCAAAUCUCUCUAUUUUCACAAAGCACUUCAGAAUGUCUUUGCCAAAUUUUGAGCACUAGCAGCGUGAUUCUUAUACAGCAGUUUAGGCACAAUUUUCAUAUCUAAUUCAUGAAAAGUUUACAAUUUGUACCAAGGAAUAGCAAGAUACCAACAUCCCUUUUAUGUUUCAAUAUCUGUAUAGUAAUAUUCUUGAACAAGACCAUGUCCCUAUGUCUUUGCCGAGACAAUUUUUUAAAAUAACUCUUGGACAGCUCCUUUUAAUCUCAGCUUGCAUCUAAAAGUGCUUAGGAAAUAAUAAUAACAUCUAGAGUUGAAUUGUUUUUUGCAGUGUAGUAGUUACACCCAUACUCAAUGGAAAAAGAAGUUUUUAUUAUCAUUUUUCAUAUACUUCUAUGACUUUUCUAUGUUCUUAAAAAUUACUGAAAUGGAUGUAUGGCGUUUUAGGGAAAUGCAGAUGCUGUUAGGAGAUGGUUGUGGGUAAUAAAAGAUCAUCCAGUGGAGGAGUUUCUGGUUCUUUCCAGUCACCAUAUUUAUGAAAUGGACUAUGCAAAACUUAUUAAAGGACAUAGAGAUAGCGGAGCAGAUAUCACAGUUGCUGUUUCAUGUAACAGAAGGAACAAUAAUCCCAGUUAUGAUUUCUUAAUACAGAAUCACAGAAAUAAAUUUUCUGAAGUCAAACAUGCACCAGAUAGGGAUCGAGAUAAUUAUGCAGCAGUAAGUUUUCCAUUCUUACUUUCAUAAAAAGAGGCAAACUUAAGAUCACUCUAGUUAUAAUUUACGGACAAGAAGUACAAUGAAUCCUUUUUUUGUUAUCCACAUCCUAUUAAAAAGAAAUAAUUCUUCAGCUUUAGAACUGCAUGCAUGGAGCUAGAUUGGAACCAUUCUGAAUUUUUCUUUAAUAACAAGUAGACAAAGCUGACAGUCUAGUUCCUACAAGUUACAUCAUUUGGAUCAUUAUGCAUGGAAUUCAGAUAGGAAAUUCUACAAAAGAAGAAGUUUGUGGUGGCAGAAGCAUGGGAAUCUAUGUCAUCAAGAGAGACAUCAUGAUCAAACUCUUAGAAAAGCUCCUACCUAAGGCCAAUGAUUUCAGAAGUGAAGUUAUACAACGUGCAAUUUCCAUGGGAAUGAAGGUCAGAAUAUUAUUUGUUUAUCUGCAGCUGAAUUUCCUAUCCAGAUUUCUCUCCCUCUUUACUUUUAUAGGAAAACAUUCCAAUUUUUUUAUUAUUCAUGUGGUCCUAUAGCAUUAUUCUUUUUUUGUUUUUCCCUUUUAUUGACUAUGUCAAGAGGGCCAGUAGUACCAUUAUUCUAAGUUUCUCUUGUAUCAGGUUCAUGCUUAUAUGUUUGAUGGACAAUGGGAAGACGUUGAAACCAUUGAAGCCUUCUACCGUGCCAACAUUGAAAGUGCAAGGAGAACAUCUCAUGGCUUCAAGUCAGUACACAACUUAGAUGAAUGAACAGCAUCAUUCAGUAACAAAUUUAGGUCUACAUUCAAUGACAAAUUUAGAUAUCUCUCUCUCUACCAAAUAACACCUACGCCUUUGCUGUAGUUUCCAUGACAGAAACUCUCCUAUCUACACCAUGCCACAUUGCCUACCACCUACUGUACUUACCAAUGCUCUCAUAAGGGAGAGCAUUAUUGGUGAUGGUUGCAUUCUACAUGUAGGUAACUUGAUACUAUCAUCAUUUAAAAUUUUGAACCAACAUGACAUGCGUUUACGGAUAUUAUAUACAUAGAAUGCACUUAAUUCAUUUUCUGAUUUAUUUUAUGUCCCAUGUAAAAAGAAAGAAGAAGAUAAAAUAACUGGUAUGAUUACAUAAAUGACAUACUCAAAUUUGAAAUAUAUAACAUUGUGCUACAUGCAAUUGACAUGUUCUCCAGUAAGCAUGCAUAGAUGUAUGUCAUUGAAGACAUAUAAUUUAACAGAGGGUUGACAUAAUGCAUGUCCCUUAGGUAAGAGAUGGUCUUCUAUAUACAUUGGUAUGUAAAUCCAUCAAUCAUAGACCAAAAUAUCAUCUGCACAAUACCUACAAAUAUGUUACCAAAGCUAAAGGUGAAGUUAAUUGAAGAUAAUACCCCAAAAGUAAACCUGAUUUGUCUCAUAAUCUGCGUGACAUGGUGGGGGAAUUAGAUAAAGAAAGAAAAGAAGCUUUUUGUCUUGUGGCCGCUUUAACUUUAGAGGCCUACAAAAGAAGCAGAUUUUACUCGUAACAAAUAAUAAUCUAGCUUGUUCUGCCUGAUGAGUUACAAAAGUCAGAUUGAUGGAUGUCUGAAAAUGGGUUAGCUUUUGCGAAAUUUGAACCACUUUCUUUAACUAGAAUGAGAAAAUUUGGCAAGGAAAGAAGAAAGAACAUUUUUACAAAAAAAUAAAUUGGAACAAAGACUGGAUAUGUUUUUCUUUCUUUUUUCUGAAAUAGUUAUUAGAGGACCUAAAGAGCAUCAAGAAACACAGGAGAGCUAAGAUAAUGAAUAGAAUUUUAGUCUACAGUAAAAACGAUUUUGCAAUGAAAUCUGUAUGCCUGGCCUUGACACUAGAAAGAAAAAAGACUGCAGAGGAGAUGGAGGCAGCUGAGCUGGUUGGCUGACCAAGCAUCCAGGUAUAAAGUGGUCAAGGGGGGUGAAGUUACUUGAUGACAGUCAGGUAGCACGAUAUGAUCUUUCUAUCCUAGUUCUGCACUGCUUAAAUAGCAAUACACAAUGCAGGUAUUUUAUCGUGAUGCAAAAUCCUAGCAGUAUGAUUUUAUUAAAUGAAAUUGUCAUAAUGCUAAAAAGUUUCAGACCUCUGCUUGAGUUUAAGUAGCCAUCCACAUCAUGGAUAAUUGGUACAUAUUCAUGCAUUGUCUAAGCAAUCUGAUAUUUUUAAAAUAAAUUACAAUCAUGCUCUGUCUUUAUAAAUUUUCCAUUACAUCAUCUAUGAUAAUUGAAUGUUGACUAAGUACCAUAAUUUCAUAUUCAUCCAUCUAUUCGAUGCUAAGUAGGCUCUGUUUCUAUUCUUUAUAUUAAGAGUAGAGGUGCGAGAUCACUGAUUCCGUGAUUGGUAUGCGAACAUAUAUCGGAGAAGAAGCAGUGAUUGAGGAUUCUGUGAUCAUGGGUAGUGAUUAUUACCAAGUAUGAAGCAUUCACAAAUCAUUUCUUAUUUCUUUUUUAUUUCUUGUGAUGUAUACAAGAAACAUGAUUGCUUUGGUCCAGCACAUGACCACUCUUGAAACUAUAUUCCAUGAGUUGUAUUUGCAUUUAUCCAUUAUCUAUGCUGAUGCCCAACAUAUAUUGUGUCAUAUUGAUUACACCUGGGAUGCUUCAAAUAGGGCUUUUAUACCAUGCACUUUUAAAGCUCCACCUAGUGUGGAAUGGUUUUGCAGUUUUUAUCAAUACACACCUAUAGUUUGGUAACUUUACCAGUUAAUCAUGUCCUUCAGCUUAUAUAGACAAAUGUGAAAUGUAGAGAAUUGUUGUCUGAUAUUAAUGAUGUUUACUAGACUUCAACCAUCUUCACAUGCUCUUGCUUUCUCUUUCUAAGUUUUCCUUUUGUCAUCAAAUAGACAGAGGUGCAACAGAACUGGACAAAAUUGCAAGGCUUCAAUGUCCCAGUUGGGAUUGGAGAACAGACUCAUAUUCGAAAGGCUAUAGUUGAUAAGAAUGCAAGGAUAGGAAGAAAUGUCAGGGUACUGAAAUAUUUGAAAAAUUAUACAAUGCAUAUUAUUCAAGUUCUUAGUAUUCUCCAUGUUGCACUAAUCAAUUUGAUCAUAUUCACAUUAUUUCUUGUAACUUCCAGGUGAAGCUUGUUGCAGUUAACAUUGACAUAGACCAAAGUUUAGUGGCAACAUUUUUAACUCAUCUGUUGUACUUAAUAGAAAUUAUCUUACUCGUUGUCUUAACUUCAUAAUUAUUACAAAAUGGUGUUCUCACUUUAUGGAUGAACAAACAUUAUCUGAAAAUUAAAAAAAAAAAGUAGAAUUUUAGAAGGUAGCAAAUACAUAGUUACAGUUCGAUCGAUAGCAUAUUAAAACUAGACUGUUCACACAAAAAAUGCCAAAAUAAAUGCAUGGACAUAUUUAAUUGACAAUAGAAGCACAAAACUCAGAGCUAGUCACGAGAAAAUGGCAAAAGUUACAUAAAUGGUUGCUAUAAAUGGCAAUACAUCUCAUUGUGUCUCUCUGAUUUAUUGGUUUUUUUUUUUUUUUGAUGAUUGCAGAUUGUUAACACAGAUGGGGUCCAAGAAUGUAACAGAGAGGAGCAUGGAUACAUCAUUUCUGGGGGCAUAGUUGUUGUUUUGAGUAAUGCAGUAAUUCCAGAUGGCAGCAUCCUCUAACUGAGCCAUGAUGCAGGGUCGGAUUCUGUAUUUAUUUCAUUUAUUACAAGGAAGAAUAAAAAACAUGAUUUGAAGAUGAUGUGAACAAGAGAUUUAUAUACAGCAUUACAAUUUUCAUCCAUGUUUCUUUUUUUUUCAUCUACUUUUCCUUUUCUCUUUUUAAAGAAUAGGCACAAGCACCAGAUCAACUCUUACAAGGACACGCAUCUUGCAGCUAGCCCCAUCGCCAUCCCUUGCAUCCAAUGGAGUGUUACCAUGCCCAUAGUCCCCUAAAAAUAUUUCCAACUAAAUCAAACUACUUGGAUCAUGAAUGAGUUGAUGCCAUAAAUACAAUUACUGUUCAUGCCAAAUUAAUCCCUGCUCUCGGCAUUACAAAACUCCAAUCACAACCAACCCUAAAGCCCUCUCUCUGUCUGUCACCUGACCAGCAACUGCCCUCUUAUUUCAACACCAUUAAAUGACAAUAAUAAUAAUAAUUAUAAUCGAAGAAGAAUCAACUACAGAAGGCCCCGAGAUAAAAGAACAGAUCAAACGGUAAUGCAAACAAAAAAAAAAACUACUAAAAAAAUCAAAUCGGCGAUUUUAAGUACUAAAACGAGAAGAAAGCAAAACAUACCCUUACCAAUGCCGCCCGAUUUCCGAUCUCCGAUCUAUAUUUUCCUGAAAAAUUGGGAAGAAGAAGGGGAAAAAAGAAUUUUCCAGAGGAAAGGAAUGAAUCAAAAGAGGGAAAUAUGUACAGAAACCAAUCGAAGAUCGUACCGAGCUCCAAAUGAGAAGUGGACGAGGCCUCGAGAGAUCUCUCGCGAGCUCUCUUCUGGCGAACACAAGAAAAAUAGGAAAGGAUCGAGGAAAAAUAGAAGGGAGCAGUGGAUACGACUGACGACGGGCAACCAAAGGAGGGUUGAAUUUUGAAUUACUUGC
rnacentral:lncRNA from 1 species